rnacentral:tRNA from 1 species
GGCCCCUUCGUCUAAUCGGUUAGGACACCAGCCUUUCAAGCUGGCAACAGGGGUUCAAAUCCCCUAGGGGUCACCA